CAGACCUCUAAUCGGAAAAGACUACCCGCUGAGUUUAAGCAUAUCACUAAGCGGAG
rnacentral:rRNA from 2 species